AUGGAUGCACUAGGUCAGACACUGACCGAGUCUGAAGCAGUGAUCAUUAAACCUGGUGGAUCUCAUAAACUGACCUGUACAGCCUCUGAGUAUGACGUUAGUGACUAUGGCAUAAACUGGAUCAGACAGGCUCCUGGGAAAGAACUGGAAUUGUUGUUAUUUAUCAGUUCAGGUGUUUGUGGACAGUCACUGACCUCAUCUGAGUCUGUGGUGAAGAAUCCUGGACAGUCUGUCACUCUGUCCUGUACUGUGUCUGGAUUCUCUUUGAGCAGCUAUUACAUGCACUGGAUCCGUCAGAAACCAGGGAAAGGACUGGAGUGGGUUGGAUUCAUUCGUAACAACCCCUCUGACUUUCUUACCAUGUAG